UGUUGGAAAGCUGAUGGCAUGAAGUGACGCUGAUUCACGAAACACACAAUAUUCUUUCAACCUUGUCAUCUACUAUAAGAAUACCUCAAAACCAUCAACUAUAGAGGAGAAAGUACACUGCAUUAAUGCAUCUGUGAGGGAACACAAAAUCUGACCUGUUGACUUUGACCCAUAUGCGAAAUCAAUGCCCUGUACCAAACAGAUCACAAUGUUUCAUCAGAGAGAUGAAGUGGUGGUGUGAGGGAAAGUCAAGAUUGCAUAGAGCAUGAACAGGGAGAGAGAUACAGGGUGCAAAGAGGGGACACAGAAAGGUGCUGAUGUGUUCAGCAGUCUAAAUAGAUGGACCUGAGGCUAUUUAUAAAACCAUCUGCAGAAGGGCUCACAUAGGCCUCAUAGUGAAGGCCAGAGCUGAUAGAACACAUCUUUAGGAUUCAUGGAGGGGGUCAGAGGAAGACUCAAUGAAGGAAUAAUCAAAACACUAAAAUAUAUCUACCCAGCACUGGUUACAGAAAAGACAGGGUGGAAUUGAUGGUGCAACAGUGUGGACAGCUGGAAAGUUGGAGUCGGCUACACAUAUCUGAACUGAUCCAGUCAAUCCCAGAACAACCCUAACCUGACACCCGUCCCAUUGUACCUGUGUUUGUUUAACAUUUCACACUGCUCUUGUCCUAUUUAGAGUGGAGCAGAGCUGCUGCUCUGGUCGGAUCAUCUGAAGUGUUAUAAUAAUGCACGAUGAGGUCGGUAUAGUUCGCCAACAAAUGCUGACAUACACACAUGUGUAUGUCAACUUAUAAAUGCAACUUGAGGAGUGCAUAUUAUAUAACAGAAUGAAGAGAGUACACGAGUCACCAAAACAAACAAGUUUAUUCAAACAUGUAUAAACAGUCAUGUGUUGCUAUGUACAUCAAAACAACUGCUUGAGGUAGAGACAGUGUUUAUGUAUUCCACCCACAUCUGAUGAGUAUUAUUAAUCUACACCUCCUCAGUACCUAUUUGCCUCUACACAUGUUGAGUGAAUACUUAUAAGUUGCACCUGAGAAAAAAAUAAAUAAAUCAGAGUCCUGAAAAAAUAUAUAAUU
ensembl:lncRNA